rnacentral:rRNA from 1 species
GACGAACGCUGGCGGCGUGCCUAAUACAUGCCAGUCGAGCGGACUUUCAAGAAGCUUGCUUUUUGAAAGUUAGCGGCGGACGGGUGAGUAACACGUGGGCAACCUGCCUGCAAGACGGGGAUAACUCCGGGAAACCGGGGCUAAUACCGGAUAAUAUCUUCCUUCGCAUGAAGGAAGGUUGAAAGGCGGCGCAAGCUGCCGCUUGCAGAUGGGCCCGCGGCGCAUUAGCUAGUUGGUGAGGUAACGGCUCACCAAGGCGACGAUGCGUAGCCGACCUGAGAGGGUGAUCGGCCACACUGGGACUGAGACACGGCCCAGACUCCUACGGGAGGCAGCAGUAGGGAAUCUUCCGCAAUGGACGAAAGUCUGACGGAGCAACGCCGCGUGAGCGAAGAAGGUCUUCGGAUCGUAAAGCUCUGUUGUCAGGGAAGAACAGUACCGUUCGAACAGGGCGGUACCUUGACGGUACCUGACCAGAAAGCCACGGCUAACUACGUG